AGAGAGCUUGCUCUCUUGGCGGCGAGUGGCGGACGGGUGAGUAAUAUAUCGGAACGUGCCCAGUAGCGGGGGAUAACUACUCGAAAGAGUGGCUAAUACCGCAUACGCCCUACGGGGGAAAGGGGGGGAUCGCAAGACCUCUCACUAUUGGAGCGGCCGAUAUCGGAUUAGCUAGUUGGUGGGGUAAAGGCUCACCAAGGCAACGAUCCGUAGCUGGUUUGAGAGGACGACCAGCCACACUGGGACUGAGACACGGCCCAGACUCCUACGGGAGGCAGCAGUGGGGAAUUUUGGACAAUGGGGGAAACCCUGAUCCAGCCAUCCCGCGUGUAUGAUGAAGGCCUUCGGGUUGUAAAGUACUUUUGGCAGAGAAGAAAAGGUAUCCCCUAAUACGGGAUACUGCUGACGGUAUCUGCAGAAUAAGCACCGGCUAACUACGUGCCAGCAGCCGCGGUAAUACGUAUGGUGCAAGCGUUAAUCGGAAUUACUGGGCGUAAAGCGUGUGUAGGCGGUUCGGAAAGAAAGAUGUGAAAUCCCAGGCUCAACCUUGGAACUGCAUUUUUAACUGCCGAGCUAGAGUAUGUCAGAGGGGGGUAGAAUUCCACGUGUAGCAGUGAAUGCGUAGAUAUGUGGAGGAAUACCGAUUGCGAA
rnacentral:rRNA from 1 species